rnacentral:rRNA from 1 species
AACGAACGCUGGCGGCAGGCUUAACACAUGCAAGUCGAACGCACUCUUCGGAGUGAGUGGCAGACGGGUGAGUAACGCGUGGGAAUCUACCUAGCUCUACGGAACAGCUCCGGGAAACUGGAAUUAAUACCGUAUACGCCCUUAGGGGGAAAGAUUUAUCGGAGUUAGAUGAGCCCGCGUUGGAUUAGCUAGUUGGUGGGGUAAAGGCCUACCAAGGCGACGAUCCAUAGCUGGUCUGAGAGGAUGAUCAGCCACAUUGGGACUGAGACACGGCCCAA